GUGAGGAAUUUUGCGCAAUGGCCGCAAGGCUGACGCAGCAACGCCGCGUGGGUGAUGAAGGCCUUCGGGUCGAAAAGCCCUGUCAGGUGGGAAGAAAGGCUUGAAGAAGCAACGCUUUGAGUUUGACGGUACCACCAGAGGAAGCACCGGCUAACUCCGUGCCAGCAGCCGCGGUAAUACGGAGGGUGCGAGCGUUAUUCGGAAUUACUGGGCGUAAAGCGCGUGUAGGCGGGGAUGCAAGUCUGAUGUGAAAGCCCUGGGCUUAACGUGGGAAGUGCAUUGGAAACUGCAUUUCUUGAGUACUGGAGAGGAAGGGGGAAUUCCCGGUGUAGAGGUGAAAUUCGUAGAGAUCGGGAGGAAUACCAGUGGCGUAGGCGCCCUUCUGGACGGUAACUGACGCUGAGACGCGAAAGCGUGGGGAGCAAACAGGAUUAGAAACCCCGGUAGUCC
rnacentral:rRNA from 1 species